CCUUUAAGAGACGAAUUCGCCCUUAGAGUUUGAUCCUGGCUCUUGAUGAACGCUAGCUACAGGCUUAACACAUGCAAGUCGAGGGGCAGCAUGGUCUAGCAAUAGACUGAUGGCGACCGGCGCACGGGUGAGUAACACGUAUCCAACCUGCCGAUUAUUCCGGGAUAGCCUUUCGAAAGAAAGAUUAAUACUGGAUAGUAUAACGAGAAGGCAUCUUCUUGUUAUUAAAGAAUUUCGAUAAUUGAUGGGGAUGCGUUCCACUAGUUUGUUGGCGGGGUAACGGCCCACCAAGACAUCGAUGGAUAGGGGUUCUGAGAGGAAGGUCCCCCACAUUGGAACUGAGACACGGUCCAAACUCCUACGGGAGGCAGCAGUGAGGAAUAUUGGUCAAUGGACGAGAGUCUGAACCAGCCAAGUAGCGUGAAGGAUGACUGCCCUAUGGGUUGUAAACUUCUUUUAUAUGGGAAUAAAGUGCAGUAUGUAUACUGUUUUGUAUGUACCAUAUGAAUAAGGAUCGGCUAACUCCGUGCCAGCAGCCGCGGUAAUACGGAGGAUCCGAGCGUUAUCCGGAUUUAUUGGGUUUAAAGGGAGCGUAGGCGGAAGCUUAAGUCAGUUGUGAAAGUUUGCGGCUCAACCGUAAAAUUGCAGUUGAUACUGGGUUUCUUGAGUGCAGUAGAGGUAGGCGGAAUUCGUGGUGUAGCGGUGAAAUGCUUAGAUAUCACGAAGAACUCCGAUUGCGAAGGCAGCUUACUGGACUGUAACUGACGCUGAUGCUCGAAAGUGUGGGUAUCAAACAGGAUUAGAUACCCUGGUAGUCCACACAGUAAACGAUGAAUACUCGCUGUUUGCGAUAUACAGCAAGCGGCCAAGCGAAAGCAUUAAGUAUUCCACCUGGGGAGUACGCCGGCAACGGUGAAACUCAAAGGAAUUGACGGGGGCCCGCACAAGCGGAGGAACAUGUGGUUUAAUUCGAUGAUACGCGAGGAACCUUACCCGGGCUUAAAUUGCAAAUGAAUAUAGUGGAAACAUUAUAGCCGCAAGGCAUUUGUGAAGGUGCUGCAUGGUUGUCGUCAGCUCGUGCCGUGAGGUGUCGGCUUAAGUGCCAUAACGAGCGCAACCCUUAUCUUUAGUUACUAACAGGUUAUGCUGAGGACUCUAGAGAGACUGCCGUCGUAAGAUGUGAGGAAGGUGGGGAUGACGUCAAAUCAGCACGGCCCUUACGUCCGGGGCUACACACGUGUUACAAUGGGGGGUACAGAAGGCAGCUACACGGCGACGUGGUGCUAAUCCCUAAAACCUCUCUCAGUUCGGAUUGGAGUCUGCAACCCGACUCCAUGAAGCUGGAUUCGCUAGUAAUCGCGCAUCAGCCACGGCGCGGUGAAUACGUUCCCGGGCCUUGUACACACCGCCCGUCAAGCCAUGAAAGCCGGGGGUACCUGAAGUCCGUAACCGUAAGGAAAGGCCUAGGGUAAAACUGGUACUUCUAAUAGAGUCCUUUAAGGGUNNCCNUNAGGNNGAAUCCGUGGCCGCGNNGUNNAAUGCGUGUGUGGAAUGUGAGCGAAAAUCCCCCCNAAACCC
rnacentral:rRNA from 1 species